ACCGGUCGCGGACACAGAGAUGUGUCUUUCAGUUCGGCUGGUCCGGAUACAGGUGCUGCAUGGCUGUCGUCAGCUCGUGUCGUGAGAUGUUGGGUUAAGUCCCGCAACGAGCGCAACCCUCGCCCUUAGUUGCCAGCAUUCAGUUGGGCACUCUAAGGGGACUGCCGGUGAUAAGCCGAGAGGAAGGUGGGGAUGACGUCAAGUC
rnacentral:rRNA from 1 species